rnacentral:rRNA from 1 species
ACGAAGGGGGCUAGCGUUGCUCGGAAUCACUGGGCGUAAAGCGCACGUAGGCGGCUUUCUAAGUCAGGGGUGAAAGCCCGGGGCUCAACCUCGGAAUUGCCUUCGAUACUGGACAUCUUGAGUACGGGAGAGGUGAGUGGAACUCCGAGUGUAGAGGUGAAAUUCGUAGAUAUUCGGAAGAACACCAGUGGCGAAGGCGACUCACUGGCCCGUUACUGACGCUGAGGCGCGAAAGCGUGGGGAGCAAACAGGA